rnacentral:sRNA from 1 species
GGUCUCAGGACAGCUGGGUGGGGCAGAGCUUAUCCUUGACAUCUCCCUCCAGCCCCACUUCUCAUUGCUGGAGCCUCCUGUUGCCCUCGGAGUACCUUCCAGCUUCUUCCCACUUUCAGCAACAGCCCCCACCACCAACAAACCUAAUGCUACCAAGGUGCCUUGUUUCAAAAUGAAGUGAUUCCAGCACAGUCAUUCAUGCUGGGUGGUAGCGACUCAGUGAGCUGCCCUUCUAAUAAAUCAUUAUACCUUGAAGAGAAGGCCAUGCUCAACCUGCAGGUGGAAUGUUUAUUGUAUCUCAGGCUGGGAUUGACCCAGAAGACCCUCAAGCAUUUGCCCAGGGUUCUUAGAAGUGAUGAGCAGCUGUGAUGGUUUGCAGGAUGGAUCCAAGAGGCCAGCAAUGGCUCAAGCUUCCUGGGAACUCUGCCCAACACUCAGGAGUUAACAUGGUCCAGCUGAACAUACCCAAUGCUCUCCCUCUAUGAACGCAGAGGAAAACUCCCGCAUCUCCAUCACCUUCUUCCGCCUGUUCCGGGUCAUGCGUCUGGUGAAGCUGCUGAGCCGUGGGGAGGGCAUCCGGACGCUGCUGUGG